CGCAAUGGGCGAAACGUGNACGCAGCGACGCCGCGUGNAGGGAUGAAGGUUUUCGGAUCGUAAACCUCUGUCAGAAGGGAAGAAACCGCACCGUGCUAAUCAGCGGUGCAUUGACGGUACCUUCAAAGGAAGCACCGGCUAACUCCGUGCCAGCAGCCGCGGGUAAUACGGAGGGUGCAAGCGUUAAUCGGAAUUACUGGGCGUAAAGCGCACGUAGGCUGCUUUGUAAGUCAGGGGUGAAAUCCCACGGCUCAACCGUGGAACUGCCUUUGAUACUGCUUAGCUUGAAUCCGGGAGAGGGUGGCGGAAUUCCAGGUGUAGGAGUGAAAUCCGUAGAUAUCUGGAGGAACAUCAGUGGCGAAGGCGGCCACCUGGACCGGUAUUGACGCUGAGGUGCGAAASGUGGGGAGCAAACAGGAUUAGAUACCCUGGUAGUCCACACUGUAAACGAUGGAUGCUAGAUGUCGGGGAGUAUUCUUCGGUGUCGUAGUUAACGCGUUAAGCAUCCCGCCUGGGGAGUACGGUCGCAAGGCUGAAACUCAAAGAAAUUGACGGGGGCCCGCACAAGCGUGGGAGUAUGUGGUUUAAUU
rnacentral:rRNA from 1 species